UACGUAGGGGGCAAGCGUUGUCCGGAAUCAUUGGGCGUAAAGCGAGCGUAGGCGGCCCGAUAAGUCUGCUGUAAAAGUCAACGGCUCAACCGUUGAAAGCCGGUGGAUACUGUCGGGCUAGAGUUCGGAAGAGGCAAGUGGAAUUCCUGGUGUAGCGGUGGAAUGCGCAGAUAUCAGGAGGAACACCUAUAGCGAAGGCAGCUUGCUGGGACGAUACUGACACUGAGGCGCGAAAGCGUGGGGAGCGAACAGG
rnacentral:rRNA from 1 species